rnacentral:rRNA from 1 species
UACGUAGGGAGCAAGCGUUGUCCGGAAUCAUUGGGCGUAAAGCGCACGUAGGCGGCCCUGUAAGUCCGCUGUGAAAGUCAAAGGCUCAACCUUUGAAAGCCGGUGGAUACUGCAGGGCUAGAGUCCGGAAGAGGCGAGUGGAAUUCCUGGUGUAGCGGUGGAAUGCGCAGAUAUCAGGAGGAACACCAAUAGCGAAGGCAGCUCGCUGGGACGGUACUGACGCUAAGGUGCGAAAGCGUGGGGAGCGAACAGG